rnacentral:lncRNA from 1 species
CUUCAUAUUACCAACAACAAUACACUACAUUGAAAUAACUCCAAUAAAUUAACCAGCAGCUACCAGCCCACUCCAUACAUUCCCUCCUCUCCAAAACGUCAAUUAGCAUGGGCAAAACUUAAACUCGCGGCUUCAUAUCACCAUCAUGUGAGUCUUACCUAUUAAAUAUAUCUAGAACAUGAAUAACAUCACGUACAUGUAGAAAUAGAAAAGAAUUGCAGAAAAACUUCAUCUCCUUUUACUAAAUGAAUGAACCAUUGUAAAAUGUAUCCUAUUUAUACAUGUAAAAGAACGAACAAACCUAUUUAACUUCUAAUACUAACUACAAACUUAAGAGUUCUAACUUAGGUAGAAGAUAUUAAAAAAUUCACUACCAUAUACACUAAUAC